rnacentral:rRNA from 1 species
UGCAGUCGAGCGGACACGAUCGGAGAGCUUGCUCCCUGUAUGUUAGCGGCGGACGGGUGAGUAACACGUGGGUAACCUGCCUGUAAGACUGGGAUAACUCCGGGAAACCGGGGCUAAUACCGGAUGCUUGAUUGAACCGCAUGGUUCAAUUAUAAAAGGUGGCUUCGGCUACCACUUACAGAUGGGCCCGCGGCGCAAUAACUAGUUGGUGAGGUAACGGCUCACCCAGGGAACGAUGCGUAACCCAACUGAAAGGGUGAUCGGGCACACUGGGACUGAAACACGGGCCAAAAUCCUACGGGAAGCAGCAGUAAGGAAUCUUCCGCAAUGGACGAAAGUCUGACGGAACAACGCCCCGUGAGUGAUGAAAGUUUUCGGAUCGUAAAACUCUGUUGGUAGGGAAGAACAAGUACCGGUCGAAUAGGGCGGUACCUUGACGGUACCUAACCAGAAAGCCACGGCUAACUACGUGGCAGCAGCCGCGGGAAUACCUAAGUGGGAAGCCGUUGUCCGGAAUUAUUGGGCCGUAAAGCGCGCGCAAGCCGCUUUCUUAAGUCCUGAAUGUGAAAGCCCCCGGCUCAACCGGGGAGGGUUCAAUGGGAGACUGGGGAAACUU